rfam:Zea mays cultivar B73 chromosome 1, whole genome shotgun sequence.
AAAUUGCACCAGGGGUGCCUGUGUUCUCAACAGUCUGAGAGCCUCUUAGCCUGGACUGUUGUGAGAUGGGCUGAGAAAGUCCCUUUGAACCUGAACAGGAUAAUGCCUGCGAAGGGAGUGUGCAAUUCUAUUUUC